rnacentral:rRNA from 1 species
GGGUGCGAUCAUACCAGCACUAAUGCACCGGAUCCCAUCAGAACUCCGAAGUUAAACGUGCUUGGGCGAGAGUAGUACUAACAUGGGUGACCUCUUGGGAAGUCCUCGUGUUGCACCCC